UAGCGCCUCUUGCAGGUGAGAGAGCAGACUGAGAAGGAAGCAAGUGUGAGGUCAGCAGCCCCAGAGAAGCUGAGUUGGAAAUGGACCCCAACCUGUCUCACUCCAGUGCCCUUUUCCUCUCCUCCCCACCAGGCCACCUGAGCUCAGCCUUGUCCUAGUGCUGACAUCUGUGAGAAAAGGGCUCCAGCACCAGGCCUGACCACCCCUCUCCUGUCCCAUUCAGGCUGCGGGUGGCACUGGGAGCAGCAGCCACCCACCCAUCCGGAGGGAGCAGUGAUGACGCAGCUGAGUUUACGAAGAGCAAAAGAUGUCUCCAGCUGCACAGGAAACUCAGUAACCCUGAUUAUAUCCCAGAACGGUUGUCACCAAGACCCAUCACCAGGCCACCUCUGGCCCUUGCAGUGGAUCCCCUCCUGAAACUGCUAAUCAAAUCACUGAAGCUCUCUGUUUCUCUCUGCAUGGAUUGCCAGGCAUAUGGGAUCAUUGGGCCUAUGAGAUUGGCCAUGGAAGGCUGGGCUGAGUUGGAAUCCCUCAGAUUAUCACUCACUUGUCAGGGCUCUGUCUAA
rnacentral:lncRNA from 1 species